ACCUGUUCUGUCUCUCUAGCUGAAAGUUUCUCUAUGGGUCAUUGAUUUAAACCGUUAAACCCACAUAACAUGGAUUUUUUUUUCAGCUGAACAACUCAGGCCCCCACAUAAAAGUGUCAGCUAUGACACAAGAACAGAAGCAGCCAUCAGGACAUCAUAAAGCAAUAGUUGGAGAAGACAGGCAGGAUGAUGACUCAAGAUACCAUCCUCAUGUGGCUGGUAGUGUCAUGCAUGCUGACAGGACGUCUAAUAAGAAAAAAAUAACUUGACUACUUGCCAGAGGUCCUGCUGAUAACCUUCAGCUUGCCGCUGCUGUGGUCUUCCCUGGGUCAUCUUUUGUAAGGUC